AAAGGGAGACCUAAUUCAGGUAAGAGACGAAAAAAAAGUAGUCGCUACCAAGAAUCAGUCCCAAAAGGUCGGAGCGAGGCGAAAUUGGCUUUCAAACUAGGUUCUGGGUUCAAACAAGACCUGAAUCAGGAACAAGGGCUAUUAGCUCAGGUGGUUAGAGCGCACCCCUGAUAAGGGUGAGGUCCCUGGUUCGAGUCCAGGAUGGCCCACCUGCACAGGUGGCAAAAACAAGAGAAGCGAGGAAUCAGCACCUUAUCUUACUGACAUAGUAAGAGAGAAUGCUGGCUCUGAGUAAAGAGUCCAGAGGAACCUUGAAAACUGCAUAGAGCUAGGUGAAAAAGCCAAAAAAGGAGACCGCAAG
rnacentral:tRNA from 1 species